GACGAACGCUGGCGGCGUGCCUAAUACAUGCAAGUCGAGCGAACAGACGAGGAGCUUGCUCCUCUGACGUUAGCGGCGGACGGGUGAGUAACACGUGGAUACCCUACCUAUAAGACUGGGAUAACUUCGGGAAACCGGAGCUAAUACCGGAUAAUAUAUUGAACCGCAUGGUUCAAUAGUGAAAGACGGUUUUGCUGUCACUUAUAGAUGGAUCCGCGCCGCAUUAGCUAGUUGGUAAGGUAACGGCUUACCAAGGCAACGAUGCGUAGCCGACCUGAGAGGGUGAUCGGCCACACUGGAACUGAGACACGGUCCAGACUCCUACGGGAGGCAGCAGUAGGGAAUCUUCCGCAAUGGGCGAAAGCCUGACGGAGCAACGCCGCGUGAGUGAUGAAGGUCUUCGGAUCGUAAAACUCUGUUAUUAGGGAAGAACAAAUGUGUAAGUAACUAUGCACGUCUUGACGGUACCUAAUCAGAAAGCCACGGCUAACUACGUG
rnacentral:rRNA from 1 species